UGCCAGCAGCCGCGGUAGUACGGAGGGUGCAAGCGUUAAUCGGAAUUACUGGGCGUAAAGCGCGCGUAGGCGGAUUGUUAAGUCUCAUGUGAAAGCCCUGGGCUCAACCUGGGAACUGCAUGGGAUACUGGCAAUCUAGAAUACAGUAGAGGGUAGUGGAAUUUCAGGUGUAGCGGUGAAAUGCGUAGAUAUUCGGAGGAACACCAGUGGCGAAGGCGGCUUUCUGGACCGAUACUGACGCUGAGACGCGAAAGCGUGGGGAGCAAACAGGAUUAGAUA
rnacentral:rRNA from 1 species